rnacentral:lncRNA from 1 species
CUGGGGAAGCUGUUGCUCUCUAUGUCACUCCCUAUGGAGAGGCUCACAAGUCUUAUGACAGAGAGGACAAUGGAGAGGGCAGAAAUGAGGCCUCUGUCCUACCUGAGUCCCACCUGUAGCCAUGCGGCAGAGAUUGAGAACAGACCUUGCCAUAACUAAGCAUCAGCUGAGUCUGUGGCCCCAGCCUCAUAAGAGAUGGUGGAAGCCUCCAGCUGAGGCCUCUUGCAUUUCUGAUCUAGAUAAACUAAGCCUACAAAUGUUUGUGGUUUUAUAUGCUUUGUGUGGGAUAAUUUUUCAAAUACUAGCAUGUCACAGGUAUGUUUGGCAAAACCCAAGGUUCUAACCCUUCCCUUGCCCAUCCCUCCCCUCCUCUUAUGUGUCCUCCUCUCAUGUGUCUUCCCUCUACCCUCCCCACCCAGGACCCCAUUUAUCAGCUCUAGGCAUCAAUGUCACCACAGUAAGGCCUUUUCAGAUGGCUCCAUGUGGUGACUGCAGCCCUCCCUAAGAGCCCUGUGCUUUCCUUUGAUAUAACUCUUGGUCUUUUCUUCCAGUUAUAAUUCUCUAGUGAUUUGUCCCUCUUCUUCUCCAGAUUAGAGCUCCUGGAAGGCAGAGACCACAUUGUUCUUUUUCUUUGCAGUUCGCAGGCCUAACUCAGCACAUGGAACAAGGUCAGCACUUGGCGAAUAGUGAUUGGAUAGAUGAGAGGAUCUGGAAACCUGUUGGAGCAGGUGCCAGUCAGUGAGCAGCUCAGAUAGUGGAGAUGGAUGCUCCUCCUAGGAGGUGCCGUUCUGUGUGGUGGCAGGGAAAUGGCCACAGAGCCCUCUGGUGGCUCUUCCUGACUGUGGGUGCUCCAGGAGAGCACAGUGGGCUCAGUCUCCCCUGGGUGGCUAGUGGUCACUGUACACUGUGGAAGAAAAACUGCCACAGGAAACAGGCUUUGCUGCAGUGACAUCUAGGCCUCAGUUUAACAAAUGCCUGGGGACAAAAAUGGGGCCUGAAGGACCAGGGACAUUAAAGGGACUUUUCCAUUCCUCUACUGGCCACACUCACCUGGGAGUCAUUGUCCUCACAAAGCCUUUUCAUCACUGCCAGGACAAGGACUUGGGUUCCAGUUCCACAUGGGUCCCCGAGACUCC